rnacentral:lncRNA from 1 species
UUAGAUUUUAAAUUUAAAAUUUGAUAUUUUAUAUCUUUCAAAUUUAAAUUUGAUCUUAAAUUUAAAAUUUGAUAUUUAAAAUUUAAAUUUUGAAAAUUAAAAAUUUUGAUUUUAAUUUCAAAUUUUAAUAUUUAAAAGUUAAAAUUUUUAAUUUAAAAUUAUAAGUUUAAAAUUUUAAAUUCAAUUAUAAGGGUAAAAUCAUUAUUUUCUAUCUAUAACUGCCAACUAUUCUAUCUUAUACUCAUAUUUUCAUCCAAACACAAUUUUUCUAGUUCCAGCUUAUACCCACAUUUUUAUUCAAACAAAAAAAUAUCCUUAUUCUUACGAAAAUUUAUUCUUGUACUUAUCCCCGGUAUAACUAGUUCUUGCUUAUAUCCGAACCAAACGAAACUAACUAAAGACAAAAAUAAUCACUCAAACCAUGUUUC